AAAAAGAUAGCAUCACGGGCAAAGAAGGCAAGAAUUGGAGAAACUUCUGGAAGAAACUACUGGUAUGUCUGCUCCCUCUAUUCCCUCUGAACACAUUUUGGCUUCUUCUUCUAAUCCUCUCCCAACUCCACCCAUUUACACAACCUCUGAAAAUCCACCUUCUAUAACCAGAACUUCACAACCUCCACCAAAUGUUAAUCUUUCUCACACUACCACUUCCUCUUCAUCAUCUUCA
rnacentral:lncRNA from 1 species